AAAAAUACUGAUUUCUGAAUUUGGGCUCAGACUGAGGUUAUAUCUUCCACCUCUGCAUUGAUGUAAUAUAACUUCCCAUUUGUCAUCUACUGUGUACGUUGAUGCCUGGACCCACGAUAAUACUGAAGAGCUGCAAAUGGUACCAAAAGACAUGGCUAGUGCCUUGAUCCUUCUCUGUCCCCAUUGAAGUUGGAUCCAAUGUCUGCCUAACUGUUACAGGCCCAAUGUUGACGUAUUAGUAAGGAGCACUUCCUGACUUGAUCUUAUUUGAAGAAGAAAGUAAGAAAACCUAACACUGGUUGUUGGCCUCCACAUUCACAGUAGCAUAGGUGUAUUAGUUGCGAUUGUAGACUGAAUUUUCAAACAGCACUGAAGUUUUAUAUUUCUAAUUGAACAUUUCUUUGGGGUUAGACAAGAAAUUGACUCAGAAGAAAAGUUUCCAGAUGAUUUAUAUAACCAACUGGUCAACAGGGAUGAAGAACGACAUGAGACGAUUGAACAGGAGCAUCAUCCAGGAAGGAUCAAACCAUGUGAUGCAUGUCUAUUUUGCUUCUUUGUGAUAUACUUGUUGUCCAAGUUUUAACUUAGAUUAGGGCAAUCCUAUCUUUCUGUGCCGUUUUGCUUUUUUCUGGUGCAAG